AGUGAACGCUGGCGGUAGGCCUAACACAUGCAAGUCGAACGGCAGCACAGUAAGAGUUUGCUCUUACGGGUGGCGAGUGGCGGACGGGUGAGGAAUACAUCGGAAUCUACUUUUUCGUGGGGGAUAACGUAGGGAAACUUACGCUAAUACCGCAUACGACCUACGGGUGAAAGCAGUGGAUCUUCGGACCUUGCGCGAUUGAAUGAGCCGAUGUCGGAUUAGCUAGUUGGCGGGGUAAAGGCCCACCAAGGCGACGAUCCGUAGCGGGUCUGAGAGGAUGAUCAGCCACACUGGAACUGAGACACGGUCCAGACUCCUACGGGAGGCAGCAGUGGGGAAUAUUGGACAAUGGGCGCAAGCCUGAUCCAGCCAUACCGCGUGGGUGAAGAAGGCCUUCGGGUUGUAAAGCCCUUUUGUUGGGAAAGAAAAGCAGCAGGUUAAUACCCCGCUGUUCUGACGGUACCCAAAGAAUAAGCACCGGCUAACUUCGUG
rnacentral:rRNA from 1 species